rnacentral:rRNA from 1 species
GAGAUUCCCCCAGUAGCGGCGAGCGAACGGGGAGCAGCCCGGAGUCUGAAUCAGCUUGUGUGUUAGUGGAAGCGUCUGGAAAGUCGCAGGGUACAGGGUGAUACUCCCGUACACUAAAGCACACAGGCUGUGAACUCGAAGAGUAGGGCGGGACACGUGGUAUCCUGUCUGAAUAUGGGGGGACCAUCCUCCAAGGCUAAAUACUCCUGACUGACCGAUAGUGAACCAGUACCGUGAGGGAAAGGC